ensembl:lncRNA
AAGAAAGGUAAAGAGAAAAGAAGAAAAAAGCCAAGUGAAAAAGUAAAGAAUAACUCAAAGGAAGGAGUGGAUGGCAAGAAAUACAGAGAAAGCAAUGCAUAGCAGAGCAAAGGAAAGCAAGGCAAAAUAGCAGCCAAAGCCACGAGAAUCAAGAAGUCAGUGAAGAGCAGGAAAGGAAUGGAGGACUCUGGCCAGAGCUGUGCCCCUGCUUGCCACAGGAGCUGCGCGGGAGGAGAAGAAUGUGGGCCAAAAGGAAUGGAGGACUCUGGCCAGAGCUGUGCCCCUGCUUGCCACAGGAGCUGCGCGGGAGGAGAAGAAUGUGGGCCAAAAGGAAUGGAGGACUCUGGCCAGAGCUGUGCCCCUGCUUGCCACAGGAGCUGCGCGGGAGGAGAAGAAUGUGGGCCAAAAGGUAAGAGGAGCUCCUUUGGGUUCUGGGCUUGAAGCAAAGCUGAGAAGCCAUGCCCGGGAGGAGGUGUGGGUAGCUACAGGCCAGCUUGCUAUCUCCCCAAGAGAUGAGGUGUGUGGGCUAGGCACCGGGCAGGAGUGCUGGCCAGAAGCAAGCAUCUCUGUGGAGGAAGGCAAAG